rnacentral:rRNA from 1 species
AUACGGAGGACGCGAGCGUUAUCCGGAUUCAUUGGGUUUAAAGGGUGCGCAGGCGGCCGUGCAAGUCAGCGGUGAAAGCCCGGCGCCUAACGCCGGAACUGCCUUUGAUACUUCCGAGCUGGAAUACGGAUGCCGUGGGAGGAAUGAGUAGUGUAGCGGUGAAAUGCAUAGAUAUUACUCAGAACACCGAUUGCGAAGGCAUCUCACGAAUCCGUCAUUGACGCUGAGGCACGAAAGCGUGGGGAUCAAACAGGAUUAGAUACCCUGGUAGUCCACGCAGUAAACGAUGAUGACUAACCGUCGGCGAUACACAGUCGGUGGCCAAGCGAAAGCGAUAAGUCAUCCACCUGGGGAGUACGUUCGCAAGAAUGAAACUCAAAGGAAUUGGCGGG